UGCAGUCGAGCGAACAGACAAGGAGCUUGCUCCUUUGACGUUAGCGGCGGACGGGUGAGUAACACGUGGGUAACCUACCUAUAAGACUGGGAUAACUUCGGGAAACCGGAGCUAAUACCGGAUAAUAUUUCGAACCGCAUGGUUCGAUAGUGAAAGAUGGUUUUGCUAUCACUUAUAGAUGGACCCGCGCCGUAUUAGCUAGUUGGUAAGGUAACGGCUUACCAAGGCGACGAUACGUAGCCGACCUGAGAGGGUGAUCGGCCACACUGGAACUGAGACACGGUCCAGACUCCUACGGGAGGCAGCAGUAGGGAAUCUUCCGCAAUGGGCGAAAGCCUGACGGAGCAACGCCGCGUGAGUGAUGAAGGUCUUCGGAUCGUAAAACUCUGUUAUUAGGGAAGAACAUACGUGUAAGUAACUGUGCACGUCUUGACGGUACCUAAUCAGAAAGCCACGGCUAACUACGUGCCAGCAGCCGCGGUAAUACGUAGGUGGCAAGCGUUAUCCGGAAUUAUUGGGCGUAAAGCGCGCGUAGGCGGUUUUUUAAGUCUGAUGUGAAAGCCCACGGCUCAACCGUGGAGGGUCAUUGGAAACUGGAAAACUUGAGUGCAGAAGAGGAAAGUGGAAUUCCAUGUGUAGCGGUGAAAUGCGCAGAGAUAUGGAGGAACACCAGUGGCGAAGGCGACUUUCUGGUCUGUAACUGACGCUGAUGUGCGAAAGCGUGGGGAUCAAACAGGAUUAGAUACCCUGGUAGUCCACGCCGUAAACGAUGAGUGCUAAGUGUUAGGGGGUUUCCGCCCCUUAGUGCUGCAGCUAACGCAUUAAGCACUCCGCCUGGGGAGUACGACCGCAAGGUUGAAACUCAAAGGAAUUGACGGGGACCCGCACAAGCGGUGGAGCAUGUGGUUUAAUUCGAAGCAACGCGAAGAACCUUACCAAAUCUUGACAUCCUUUGACAACUCUAGAGAUAGAGCUUUCCCCUUCGGGGGACAAAGUGACAGGUGGUGCAUGGUUGUCGUCAGCUCGUGUCGUGAGAUGUUGGGUUAAGUCCCGCAACGAGCGCAACCCUUAAGCUUAGUUGCCAUCAUUAAGUUGGGCACUCUAAGUUGACUGCCGGUGACAAACCGGAGGAAGGUGGGGAUGACGUCAAAUCAUCAUGCCCCUUAUGAUUUGGGCUACACACGUGCUACAAUGGACAAUACAAAGGGCAGCGAAACCGCGAGGUCAAGCAAAUCCCAUAAAGUUGUUCUCAGUUCGGAUUGUAGUCUGCAACUCGACUACAUGAAGCUGGAAUCGCUAGUAAUCGUAGAUCAGCAUGCUACGGUGAAUACGUUCCCGGGUCUUGUACACACCGCCCGUCACACCACGAGAGUUUGUAACACCCGAAGCCGGUGGAGUAACCAUUGGAGCUAGCCGUCGAA
rnacentral:rRNA from 1 species